AGUGAACGCUGGCGGUAGGCCUAACACAUGCAAGUCGAACGGCAGCACAGUAAGAGCUUGCUCUUACGGGUGGCGAGUGGCGGACGGGUGAGGAAUACAUCGGAAUCUACUUGUUCGAGGGGGAGAACGUAGGGACACUUACGCUAAUACCGCAUACGACCUACGGGUGAAAGCAGGGGAUCUUCGGACCUUGCGCGAGCGAAUGAGCCGAUGUCGGAUUAGCUAGUUGGCGGGGUAAAGGCCCACCAAGGCGACGAUCCGUAGCUGGUCUGAGAGGAUGAUCAGCCACACUGGAACUGAGACACGGUCCAGACUCCUACGGGAGGCAGCAGUGGGGAAUAUUGGACAAAGGGCGCAAGCCUGAUCCAGCCAUACCGCGUGGGUGAAGAAGGUCUUCGGGUUGUAAAGCCCUUUUGUUGGGAAAGAAAAGCAGCAGGUUAAUACCCCGCUGUUCUGACGUUACCCAAAGAAUAAGCACCGGCUAACUUCGUG
rnacentral:rRNA from 1 species